AACCUGCCUUGGAGAGGGGGAUAACACAGAGAAAUUUGUGCUAAUACCGCAUGAUGCAGUUGGGUCGCAUGGCUCUGACUGCCAAAGAUUUAUCGCUCUGAGAUGGCCUCGCGUCUGAUUAGCUAGUUGGUAGGGUAACGGCCUACCAAGGCGACGAUCAGUAGCCGGACUGAGAGGUUGACCGGCCACAUUGGGACUGAGACACGGCCCAG
rnacentral:rRNA from 1 species